rnacentral:rRNA from 1 species
GACGAACGCUGGCGGCGUGCUUAACACAUGCAAGUCGAGCGGUAAGGCCCUUCGGGGUACACGAGCGGCGAACGGGUGAGUAACACGUUCGUAAUCUGCCCAUCACUUCGGGAUAACUCCGGGAAACCGGUGCUAAUACCGAAUAUGACCACUUCCGGCAUCUGAUGGUGGUGGGUAGUUCCGGCGGUGAUGUAUGAGCUCGCGGCCUAUCAGCUCGUUGGUGGGGUAGUGGCCUACCAAGGCUUCGACGGGUAGCCGGCCUGAGAGGGUGACCGGCCACACUGGGACUGAGACACGGCCCAGACUCCUACGGGAGGCAGCAGUGGGGAAUAGUGGACAAUGGGCGGAAGCCUGAUCCAGCAACGCCGCGUGAGGGAUGACGGCCUUCGGGUUGUAAACCUCUUUCAGCAGGGACGAAGCGCAAGUGACGGUACCUGCAGAAGAAGCACCGGCCAACUACGUG